rnacentral:lncRNA from 1 species
ACUCACAGCCAGGCUUACCUAAGGAAAAGACCCCUCUGAACUCUCCGACACUCACAUCCUGGGGCCGAAACCAUGAUAUAAACAGCCUCUGGAGCUUGACCGAAGCUCCCUGAACGCACACACAGUCCCUCUUUUAACGUGUAAGUGCACGGUGGCCGGGGCUCGCCAACAAGCACGGUGUAGACGGGGAGCAAGGACUGGCCGGGCUGCGCAGGAGGCCCGCCGGCUGGACCCGGCCGAUAAUGGAGCACGAGCCGCCCACCCUCCCUCAAGAAGGCCAGUGAAGAAGCACAUAGGUCAGGCGCCGAGCCCCGGGAGGCAGAAAUGGGCCCGGAAACCGGGGAGGGACUCGCUGCGGAUGCCCAGGACGCUGGGGCCGGGAGUUUGAGCGCCGGGGGGCCGGGCUGCAGCCGCGAGGGCUGCACUCUCAUCCCGGCCGCCCCUCUCACCUCCUGCGCUGGCGGUCCCGGUUCCUGCCGAGGCGGUCGGACAGGCGUCCCAGGAGCGCGGCCAGCCCUGGGCGGCCAGGCAGGAGGCCCAGCAGUCGCCUCCAGAACACGGGUCCCGCCGCAGCUGCCGCCGCCACCGCCAUGGAGACUCGCCGCUUCCGCUUCCGCUCCCGGCGGGCGCGAACUUUAUUGACAAAGGCGAGCGCGGACACGGCUCAGGCGCGCAGGCGCGGAACCCCUGGCUCGGGGAGGGCGGCGCUGCACCGCCCCCAAGCCUCAGUUUCCCCUCUGGGGGACACAGGCGAGGAACAGUGGUCGCGCCGCAGGAGGGGGUCGGAAGCCGGCCCGUUAAAUCCGUAAGGGCGCCAGGUGGCCUGCAUUCCUGCAGUCACUCGUCACAGGUCGCGGAGGAAAGGAUGCGGCGCAGGGGCUCUAGCACCGUCACGCUUGGCUCCAACUCACCAGCUGUCAAAAAAGCUUUUGUUUGUUUGUUUUGAGACAGAGUCUCGGUCUGUGUCCCAGGCUGGAGUGCAGUGGCGCGAUCUUGGCGCAUUGCAGCCUCGACCUCCCGGCCUCAGGGGAUCCUCUCAAAGUGCUGGGACCACUCCCAAAGUGCUGGGACCACCAAAGUGCGUGUGCCACCAUGCCCGGCUAAUUCUUUACUUUUUUGUCGAGAUGGGGGUCUCACUACGUUGCCCAGGCCGGUCUCGAGCUCCUGGGCUCAAGAGAUCAUCCAGCCUCAGCCUCCCAAAGUGUUGCCAUUACAGACAUGAGCCACCGAGCCUGACCACUGGCUGUCAAGAUUGACUCCUCGGCCGGCGCAGUGGCUCACGCCUGUAAUCCCUGCACUCUGGGAGGCAGAGGCGGGUGGAUCACCUGAAGUCAGGAGUUCGAGACCAGCCUGGCCAACCUGAUGAAACCCCGUCUCUACUAAAAAUGCAAAAAAUUAGCUGGGCGCAGUGGCCCAUGCCUGUAAUCCCAAACUACUCAGGAGGCUGAGGCAGGAUAAUCGCUUGAACCCAGGAGGUGGAGGUUGCAGUGAGCCAAGAUCGAACCACUGUACUCCAGCCUGGGCAACAAGAGCAAAACUCCGUCAAAAAAAAAAAAAAAAAAAAAAAAAAAGGACUUCUCACUGAUAAGUGAGGGAAUUACUGUUUGAGGCUCUAAUUGAUAGGGUGUUCUUUAGACUUGUACAACACCCCUAAGGUGUUAAACUUGAACAAAGUCUGUUCUUGUACAAAGUCUUGUAACCUGGUUAACGCUGACUCACUAAGGUGCACAGAACCACGGAAAAUCCCCACCAGACUGAGAGAGGAAUCAUUUUUCACCCUGUUAGCCCCAGAGGCUGCAGCUCCAUGGCACAGAACAGCCUAAGCAAAUCUGUGUGAGAUGAACAGUCUUCCACCCUCCUGAUAUGCCCAAGUACACAGAUAUCACUGGCCCCUGGCAACACACAGUUCUAUGCCCAAAAAGCUGACGGAGCACAUCCUCAUACACCAAGAACACUUUUUUUUUUUUUU